rnacentral:rRNA from 1 species
UACGUAGGGGGCAAGCGUUGUCCGGAUUUAUUGGGCGUAAAGAGCGUGUAGGCGGCUUCACAGGUCUGCUGUGAAAACUCGAGGCUCAACCUCGAGCUGUCGGUGGAAACCGUGGGGCUAGAGUCCGGAAGAGGAGAGUGGAAUUCCCGGUGUAGCGGUGAAAUGCGCAGAUAUCGGGAGGAACACCAGUGGCGAAGGCGGCCAUCUGGAUCAACACUGACGCUGAGGCACGAAAAGCGUGGGGAGCAAACAGGG